UACGUAGGGGGCUAGCGUUGUCCGGAAUCAUUGGGCGUAAAGCGCGUGUAGGCGGUCCGGUAAGUCCGCUGUGAAAGUCGGGGGCUCAACCCUCGAAUGCCGGUGGAUACUGUCGGGCUAGAGUGCGGAAGAGGCGAGUGGAAUUCCUGGUGUAGCGGUGAAAUGACGCAGAUAGUCGGGAGGAACACCAGUAGCGAAGGCGGCACUCUGGGCCGGUACUGACGCUGAGGAGCGAAAGCGUGGGGAGCGAACAGG
rnacentral:rRNA from 1 species